ACCUACGGGGGGCAGCAGUAGGGAAUUUUCGUCAAUGGGCGCAAGCCUGAACGAGCAAUGCCGCGUGAACGAGGAAGGUCUUCGGAUCGUAAAGUUCUGUUGAAGGGGAAAAAGAGCGGAGAGAGGAAAUGGUCUCCGAUUGAUAUUACCCUUCGAGGAAGUCACGGCUAACUACGUGCCAGCAGCCGCGGUAAUACGUAGGUGGCGAGCGUUAUCCGGAAUGAUUGGGCGUAAAGGGUGCGUAGGCGGCCUGCCAAGUCUGGAGUGAAAGGUACCGGCUCAACCGGUACAGGCUCUGGAAACUG
rnacentral:rRNA from 1 species